rnacentral:lncRNA from 1 species
CCGACUCCCUGGCCUCAUUCUACCAUCUAUUGUGGUUUUCCAAUCUAGGCCGAGGGGCUAGGUUUCUUCAGACAAUCAGGGCCCAAGGUUAAGAUUUCUCUUGAAAUUCAAGGUUCGAGUUUAUGAUUUGCCAGAGAAAAUUUUGCUUCUGUCUUGUUCUAGGAAUUCAUUUUUACAUUCGCAACUAUGUCGACGAUGCUAGCUUCCUGAGAAUUACUAGCACAGUUUGGGUUUAGGGCUUUUCGAUGGCUAAGGAGAACGAAUCGGCUUCGCAGGCCACCGUCAAUGGAGACAAUACACUCACGAGAUCUACGAUGUCGUCCAUUGGGGUGAGCGUCGUUACCCUAUCUUUUUGUUCGCAUAUUUUUCCUGUAUUAAUUCUAGGGUUUUUUAUUUAGAUCGGAAGAGGAUGUGUUUUGCUUAGGGAAACAUAUCGAGAAUGUACGAGACAUUGAUGGUGCCGUCCGAGGGUUCCUCAUUCUUGGCGUGAUGAUAGACUUGUGUUAAUAAUGGUGAGCAUUUUUGCCCUAUUCUUCUGUUCACACCUUUUUCUUGUAUUAAUUCUAGGGUUCCUUUGCAUGAUAGAAGAACGCUUAGGGUUUCACCUCACGCGGUGAUACCUGAUUAGCUUUAAAUAUAAUAGUUGUAGAAAUAGUAGCAUUUAAACAAUAAAUGAAGUUUAUGGAGUGGAGUCGAAUUAGGGUACUUCAAUGUAGGUGUGCAGCAGAUGCAUUUUUCAAAGAUUUGGGAUCACAGAGAGCAGAGAGCGUUAUUCUGAUCACCAACUUCAUAUCCUCCCUUAUUUUGAGGACAAGAAAUUGGUGGUGAAAAGGGAGAGCACAAAUGAGUUUUCCUUUUCUAUUUUUCUGUUUAUAUUUCCAACUUCAUCUCGAUCGAGAGUUUAAAAAAUGGGAAAAAAGAGAAAAACCAUGUUUACAUUAUCUACAUCUCAAGUAUAGAUAAAUUUCUGCUGAGUCCAAAUUUAAGUUUCUUUGAGGUCAUUGUACAAACUAUGUAUUUUUUAAAGAGGUUUUGAUUUUGCAUUUUCUUUUGUAACUUGUGUUUGAAAAAACGUAUGAAUCUGGAAGUUUCAAGGAAAGUCACUUUCUAAAUCCUUUAUUGCAAAGGAUGCUCCAAGAAAUUUCUCAUACAGGCACGUUUAUUUUAUACUACCACCAUUUGUUCCUGUUUCUUUACAAUUUGUAGAAUGAUCUUAUGUCUGCUCUUUAAGUGAGCUGCCCGUUAAGCCUUAUGAUAGUUUCUUAUGUCUUAAACUUUAGAGCAUAACAAGAUGUGGUACUUCUCUAGAAUUUUGUGACAAGCCCGUGGGAAGGAAAAGAGAAGCCUUAGUAAAAGGACCUUCAUCCUUCCAUUCAUAUUUUUCUCUCUCACUCACACACGCACAUGCAGACAGUGACAUUUCAAUACAUAUAGGACUUUGUAAAAAUAUUCAAUUUAUCAUUUAAGAUUAAAUCAUACCAUUAUUUAUAUAGGAUAUUAACCCUGCUUCCCUUAAGCAUUUUAUUCAACUUCCUAGAGUUUGUUAGGGGCAACUGAAGAACCUUUGGGUUUGAGUUAUUCAAAUAGAUCCUAUCUUAUGUGGCGCCAAUGGGUAACCCAUUGCCCGUCCCUACCUGCUUUACAAGUGGCUCCACAACACAGGGACAAGUAUGAUUUGAUGGAAGUGUAAUUUCCAAAAUUCAUAUGAAUGACCAAAAAACGAUGAUCUCUUUGCAUUGCAGGCUCCAAAAUAUAGCAAGGAAUUCUUCGUGGGGUCUUGGACACCCCCAAUCUGCAAUAUGGGUUUGAUUUACUUUUAAUGACCUUGAACUUUCUCCCAUCACAAAUUAUGUUAAACCUUCUAUAUGAUAGAAUUUUACCACUCAUCUUUAGGGCUGUAGUACUUAAUGGACAAUGCUGACUUUCAUGAUUUGCUGUGAUCCGUAUCUGUGGUCUUCUUCUUUUGUGUGUCUCUCUAUGAAUGCUCAAACGUCCAGUUUCAUAUGUGACGCAUAUCAAACCUUAGUUGAUUGCAAAACAUGAAUUUAUCGUAAUAUAUUUUAUUAAUUUCCUAACAUGAUUUUGAUAAGUCAUGGGUGAUGCGAAGACUGUCUUUUGCAGCACUAGAUUAAUUCUUAAUGAUGUCAAAAUAGACUGUUUUCUAACUAACUGAGGGUUAAACGUUUUCCUUUAUUAUUUGCCCUGUUUUAACAUCUUUAGACUUGUAAACUGACUUUGCCAUUGCAGGGAUAUGUGAGUUGCAGAAUCAUGGUCAUAUUCUCAUCAGUGGAACAUCAGUAUGUUGCAAUAUGUUCCUCAGUUUGAUGUCAAAUUUCUUCAAAUAGAAUUAAAGGUUUUAUAAAAACCGACAUUUUUUAAAGUAGGGGGUUAAAUUUUAACUAUUUUUGAUGUAAAAUCCUCCGAAGGAGAUGUUAAAUCCAACGGGGAAGUCAAAUCAGCAGAAAAGUAAAAAUUGUAAAAAAUGACGCCCGAUGCUUUAGAUGUCUUUUUCAUAAUUUAUGUAUUGUUUUAUGGC